CGCGACUCUUAUUUCUUGUGUAUAGUUGUACUAGUGUGCACUUGUUGCGAGCUGCGAAUGCAUGGUCGUUGAUCUCUCGAACAUGUGGCUCACGGGCAGAGCACGACAUCGUAGUUGGAGCCCUGUGGGCAGGUGAAGGUGCUGGUCUGGUCGUCCUUGGCGUAGCUGUAGGCGUCCGGGCACAGCCUCUUGAAGAACCUGGAGUAGUCCGUGGGCGGGCACUUGUCCUUGUACUGGCCCCGGCAGCAGUAGGUGUCGCCGCCGAGCUUCUCGCAGGCGCUGGCGCAGCCGCCGGGCACCUUGAGCGCGGCGGGGCACUGGGCGUUGAUGUCGGCCUUGCAGCUGGGGCCCCUGCCGCGGCACUGGAAGGACAUGGGCACGUUGAAGCCAUCCACGAGGGAGAUGUCGAUGUAGUCCGGGCCGUUCCUGUUGAGCGUGUACUCGGCCAGCGUCGCGGGGGUUCUCCCGGACACGGUGCACGCCAGCGCGCCGCCGCAGUCCCCCGUCUGGCACGUCCCGCGGCCGCUGCCGUCGAAGCUGCACCCCGUGCGCGCCCACACCCGCGCGUGCGCCGUGCCCGCCGGCACCUGCACGGUCCACGUCUUGCCAGGGUCCAGGCGCGCGCCGCCGCCGGGGAGGGCGGCCGGCCACAGCGUGUUCUUGCAGCGGUUGAUGACGUUGAAGGUGGCCGCGUCUGCGGAGGCGGCGAAGAGGGCGACGGCGGCGAGGAGGAGAAGAGAGGACGACGCCAUGGUCGAUCGAUCUGCUAGCGGUGCACGGUCAGUCUUUCGUCCGCAAGUUCUGAAGAGCUAGCGUGCUG
rnacentral:misc_RNA from 1 species